rnacentral:rRNA from 1 species
UACGUAGGGUGCGAAGCGUUGUCCGGAAUUAUUGGCGUAAAGAGCUCGUAGGCGGUCUGUCGCGUCUGCUGUGAAAACUCAGGGCUUAACCCUGAGCUUGCAGUGGGUACGGGCAGACUAGAGUGCGGUAGGGGAGACUGGAAUUCCUGGUGUAGCGGUGAAAUGCGCAGAUAUCAGGAGGGAACACCGGUGGCGAAAGGCGGGUCUCUGGGGUCGU